rnacentral:rRNA from 1 species
GACGAACGCUGGCGGCGUGCCUAAUACAUGCAAGUCGAACGAGAGCGACCGGUGCUUGCACUGGUCAAUCUAGUGGCGAACGGGUGAGUAACACGUGGGUAACCUGCUCAUCAGAGGGGGAUAACAUCCGGAAACGGAUGCUAAAACCGCAUAGGUCUUCGAGCCGCAUGGCUUGAAGAGGAAAAGAGGCGCAAGCUUCUGCUGAUGGAUGGUCCCGCGGUGCAUUAGCUAGUUGGUGAGGUAACGGCUCACCAAGGCCGUGAUUCAUAGCCGAACUGAGAGGGUGGUAGGCCACAUUGGGACUGAGACACGGCCCAAACUCCUAAGGGAGGCAGCAGUAGGGAAUCUUCCGCAAUGGACGCAAGUCUGACGGAGCAACGGCGCGUGAGUGAAGAAGGUUUUCGGAUCGUAAAACUCUGUUGUUAGAGAAGAACAAGUGCUAGAGUAACUGUUGGCGGCUUGACGGUAACUAACCAGAAAGCCACGGCUAACUACGUG